AAGUCGACGGAAAAUGCUGAGGUGUAACGUGCAGGCCGUGACGUGGCUCUGGAUCAUCAAACAUGGAUUGCUCUAUAAGCAUGUGGACAAAUAAGCCCCUGCAGACUCAGCAAAGUGACGUCGUUUUAAAAAGAAGUCUGUUUGCUCGAUUAGGGCGAAAUCUCAAUCUCCCCAUUUCUGAACCCUAACACUAGUGCCUGAAGCAUGAGCGAUCCAGAGCAAUCUUCAACCUCUAACACACACCGUUUUAGAAGGAAGAAUUUGGUGGGGUCGAGUAGCAAUGCAAGUGAGGGCAAGAAGGCCAAGUUCCAGCACCCUAAAUGCAAGUGUGGCACCUAUGCAGUCAUGCAACAGUCUGGGACAGCCAAGAACCCAGACAGAAUCUUCCUGGGCUGUUCCCACUAUGGCAUGGAGCAACGUCACUGCAAUUUUUUUGUUUGGCUAGACGAACUGAUUGCUAAAGGUUGUGGCAAUGAAGAUGACAAUGAUAUUUAAGGAAGAAUGAUGAUGAUGGAGAAAAGGUUGGAGGAACUGGAAUUCAAGAUUCAAGAUGAAUAUGAAGCAAAAUAAAAAAGAUGUAGUAAUAACCAUAGUGUGUUUGUUAUGCUGGCAAUGUUAAUUGUGAUAACAGCAGUUGUGUUUGUAGUGUUUUAGGGUAUAUUGUGUUGUUUUGCUGAGUCUGCAGGGGCUUAUUUGUCCACAUGCUUACAGAGCAAUCCACGUUUGAUGAUCCAGAGCCACGUCACGGCCUGCACGUUACACCUCAGCGUUUUCCGUCGACUUUGAACGGAGAAACAAACUCAAGGGCUAAUUGGUAUCACAGAGCAAAUGGAUAAGGACCGAUUUGAUAAAUAAUAAAUAUCAGGGGGCGGGUAGUCAAUUUUCAAAAUGAACAAGGGCCGGAAAGGGUAUUUACUCUUUUAAUUCCUUAUCAAAACCAAAACAUAAAAUUCUGAAUUUUAAGUAAAAUUCCAAUUCCAAAAGGCAACGAAAUAAAAGUCUAGAUAUUGCAGAUGUUCUAAUUCCAAUUGCAAAUUUCUUUAUAAACCUUCUAAUAAAGUACUUCUGUAAAAUUAAUAUCACUCUCUUUUAAUCAAAAUAUAAUUUUACACUUUAUCAGCAGGUACACCAAACCGGCACAAAACUGGUGACCAUGGCUCCUAGUCCUCUUACCUGAUUGAUAAAUGGUCUGGUUUUCACAAAUACGGAAACAACGAAAAUAAAACUACAAAAUUUCAUGUUAUCUAUAAGCCAUAUACAUCUAUUAAGCAAUGGCUUUCUUCUUUGGUUUUGA